rfam:Rhodopirellula sallentina SM41 cSM410259, whole genome shotgun sequence.
GGGGGCGACUUGGAAUCGACCGGAUGUCAAGAAGCGAAUGCCUGCGUGUCGUGGUUGAUCAGAAGGCCACGUAAAAAUCUGAUCAAAAAUUUUAGUUGCAGAAGAAAACUUUGCACUCGCCGCCUAAGUACAGGUAGCGCGGACUGAGGGGGAUCGCCGGAGUCGCCCGAAUGUCCGUCACAAUUCCGGAUCGCUUAUCGUCCUACUCGAGACGCGAUAAGUUAAAUUUGAUUCGAGUUAGCCGAUCGGGGAGCCUGUCAGGUAGCGCCUCGUGACGCGAAUAGGGAUCCUCGAGUUCCCACAAAUAGCUUGACUACACAUGUAGACGGCAUCGUGGAUGCAUCGCGGGACGGGAGUUCAAUCCUCCCCGCCUCCACUU